rnacentral:lncRNA from 1 species
AUUUUAACAUCAAGUAAAGAAGUUAUCGGAACUCCAACUAGAUGGUUAGAAACAUUUGAAGCAGAAUUACUAAUCAAUAUAUAAUGUGUUCGUCAUAUAACAGAAUCACUGCAGUUUUUGAUAAUUCUCCGCUAUCUCAUUAUAGAUUAUGGCGGGCAUUUUGAUUAAACAGGGUCCUGGGCUGCAGCCCAUAAAGACCAUGCCUAAAUCCGCCCGUCUCUAUAGCUCUCAAUAUGCAAUCUGUUUCAAGUUCUUCUGUUUCACAAUAUUCUUCAUAGUGUUGGGGCUGAUACUGAUAGUCGCGAUCAGAUAUCAAGAUAUUGAUGAACCCGACAUCUUCUAUACAGCUGCUGUGUACGAACACGUGUCGAAAGCUGAUCCCAAAAAGGUUACAA